AAAUAAAAAGCAUACCAUAUAUAGACCUAACUGUAACAAUUUUCUGUUCCGAUUGAGGAUGCUUCACUAAUCGAAAAAUGAACAGAUCACAAGAACUGAGAAGAAGUCACAAUCUUUGGAGCAAGAAGACACAAAGAGGAACUAGAAACAAGAAGCCAAGAGGCGCCCCCCAGCAAAUGAAACGCCGGCUCAGUUGAUCAACGCGACCAGAGCUUGUGAUGACUCUGAUGCCCUACAACCAAAGAUACAUAGAUGAUGAAAGCAUCUGAUCAAGCAAAAAGCUCACAAAAGUACACAUGGCAGAAAAGCUAAGAGUAACUCUAGUAGCAAGUUAAGUCAGCCAUGCACUGUGAGGCUGCAUCGACGUUCUUCUACCUUUCAACCAAUUGAAUUCCAGUUAACAUCUCAUGGGGAUUCAGAGCUGAUGACAAUAGAGCAGGUGAUGAAAUAACUCUUGUGUGUUGUAUGUGCAUUUCCUGCUUCAUUAUAUGAGCUACACCAGUGAUGGACUGAUGAAUAUACCUAAUAGAUCUAAUUCUGCUACUUUAGUGUAGAAACAUAGCAUGUAUACUCGAAAGUUUAUUUACUUGGCAGUUAGGACAUCACGUAUAGAAUCUAGCGUCAUUCACUUCAGUGUAUAAACACCAUUCAGUAAAAUGGUAAAAAUGUAAUAUCCUGGAAGUAUAUUUCCCAACAAAUACUCCACAGUACUUAAGAUGUAACCACUAUAUAAUUGAAAGUAUAUAGAAGCUUCCAUUUCCUUGAUGUUACAGAUACAUAGAUCAUGAAACCAUCUGAACUGAUCAAGCUACAAGCUCACAAAAGUACACAUGGCAGAAAAGCUAACAACUAAAAAGGUGGAGCUGAUAUCAAGUUAAGUUAGCCUUAGCCAUGCAUUACAAGGUCGUCUUCUACUACCUUUCAACCAAUUGAAUUCCAGUCAACAUGUAAUGGGGAUUCAGAGUUUGAUGACUAUCAACAGGUGAUAAAAUAGCUUUGUGUGUUGUAUGUGCAUUUCCUGCUUCAUUAUAUGAGCUACACCAGUGAUGGACUGAUGAAUAUACCUAAUAGAUCUAAUUCUGCUACUUUAGUGUAGAAACAUAGCAUGUAUACUCGAAAGUUUAUUUACUUGGCAGUUAGGACAUCACGUAUAGAAUCUAGCGUCAUUCACUUCAGUGUAUAAACACCAUUCAGUAAAAUGGUAAAAAUGUAAUAUCCUGGAAGUAUAUUUCCCAACAAAUACUCCACAGUACUUAAGAUGUAACCACUAUAUAAUUGAAAGUAUAUAGAAGCUUCCAUUUCCUUGAUGUUACAGAUACAUAGAUCAUGAAACCAUCUGAACUGAUCAAGCUACAAGCUCACAAAAGUACACAUGGCAGAAAAGCUAACAACUAAAAAGGUGGAGCUGAUAUCAAGUUAAGUUAGCCUUAGCCAUGCAUUACAAGGUCGUCUUCUACUACCUUUCAACCAAUUGAAUUCCAGUCAACAUGUAAUGGGGAUUCAGAGUUUGAUGACUAUCAACAGGUGAUAAAAUAGCUUUGUGUGUUGUGUGUGAAUUUCCUGCUACAGCCGGGCUAGAUAAGCUACACCAGUCAUGGGGCUGAUGAAUAUACCUAAUUGAUGUAAUUCAGCUACUUCUGUGUUGAACCAUAGGCGCUCUACGUUCUACAACAAGCUUCCUAAGUUAGAUUUAGAAUCAGAAGCCACACCUCCACCAAUUGUUCCAAGGAAUUUUCUAGGCAUUACAUCAAACAUCUCACACAAAAAUUUACAAGGGAAUUUUCAAAUAUAGUGCAAAACACAUUCUAGAUGAACUUCU